AUUGAACGCUGGCGGCAUGCUUUACACAUGCAAGUCGAACGGCAGCGCGGGGGCAACCCUGGCGGCGAGUGGCGAACGGGUGAGUAAUGCAUCGGAACGUAUCCUGUAAUGGGGGAUAACGUAGCGAAAGUUACGCUAAUACCGCAUACGCUCGGGAGAGGAAAGUGGGGGAUCGCAAGACCUCACGUUACAGGAGCGGCCGAUGUCCGAUUAGCUAGUUGGUGGGGUAAAGGCCUACCAAGGCGACGAUCGGUAGCUGGUCUGAGAGGAUGAUCAGCCACACUGGGACUGAGACACGGCCCAGACUCCUACGGGAGGCAGCAGUGGGGAAUUUUGGACAAUGGGCGAAAGCCUGAUCCAGCCAUGCCGCGUGCGGGAAGAAGGCCUUCGGGUUGUAAACCGCUUUAGUCCGGGAAAAAGGGCUGACGUGCUAAUACCGCGUUGGUUUGAUGGUACUGGAAGAAUAAGCACCGGCUAACUACGUG
rnacentral:rRNA from 1 species